UGCAUGCCUUACGAAUGCACCUAAAUAAUACAUGGCAGAAUCUUGUUCGCAAAUGUGUUGACCCUACAUCAGACAAGUUUAUCAAUAUCUGUUUGCAUUUUAUGUCCUUUACUGUAGAAAGAUAAUGUAUUCUGUAUGAGUCAUUUAUUUUCUGAAUAUUAUUCACUACUUUGUAGAGUGUUGAGAAUCUAAGGAAAGAGAAUUGUGAAUACAUUGCUCCUACCACCUAUUCCUGUACCUUAGAAAGAUGCAAGAGAACAGAAGUGGUUCCAGUCACCUGUGAAUAUUGUCAUCUAAACUUCUGCCUUGGACACAGAUAUCGAA